UACGUAGGGGGCAAGCGUUGUCCGGAUUCAUUGGGCGUAAAGAGCGCGCAGGCGGUCGUUCAAGUCGCGUGUGAAAGCCCCCCCGGCUCAACUGGGGAGGGUCACGCGAUACUGAUCGACUCGAAGGCAGGAGAGGGAAGUGGAAUUCCCGGUGUAGUGGUGAAAUGCGUAGAUAUCGGGAGGAACACCAAUGGCGAAGGCAGCUCGCUGGAACGGUACUGACGCUGAGGCGCGAAAGCGUGGGGAGCGAACAGG
rnacentral:rRNA from 1 species